UACGUAGGGGGCAAGCGUUGUCCGGAAUCAUUGGGCGUAAAGAGCGCGUAGGCGGCCCUGUAAGUCCGCUGUGAAAGUCAAGGGCUCAACCCUUGGAUGCCGGUGGAUACUGCAGGGCUAGAGUCCGGGAGAGGUGAGUGGAACUGCGAGUGUAGAGGUGAAAUUCGUAGAUAUUCGCAAGAACACCAGUGGCGAAGGCGGCUCACUGGCCCGGUACUGACGCUGAGGUGCGAAAGCGUGGGGAGCAAACAGG
rnacentral:rRNA from 1 species